rnacentral:tRNA from 1 species
ACAGAUAUGAUGAAAUUGGUAAACAUAUUAGGUUUAGAUUCUAAGUUACUUUAAAAUAGUUAAUGAGGGUUCGAAUCCCUCUAUCUGUA